rnacentral:rRNA from 1 species
GCUCAACCGAGGAAGUGCUUCGAAAACUGGUAAACUUGAGUGCAGAAGAGGAAAGUGGAACUCCAUGUGUAGCGGUGGAAUGCGUAGAUAUAUGGAAGAACACCAGUGGCGAAGGCGGCUUUUUGGUCUGUAACUGACGCUGAGAUUCGAAAGCAUGGGUAGCAAACAGGAUUAGAUACCCUGGUAGUCCAUGCCGUAAACGAUGAGUGCUAAGUGUUGGAGGGUUUCCGCCCUUCAGUGCUGCAGCUAACGCAUUAAGCACUCCGCCUGGGGAGUACGAUCGCAAGAUUGAAACUCAAAGGAAUUGACGGGGGCCCGCACAAGCGGUGGAGCAUGUGGUUUAAUUCGAAGCAACGCGAAGAACCUUACCAGGUCUUGACAUACCAUGAAAAGCUAAGAGAUUAGUCUUUCCCUUCGGGGACAUGGAUACAGGUGGUGCAUGGUUGUCGUCAGCUCGUGUCGUGAGAUGUUGGGUUAAGUCCCGCAACGAGCGCAACCCUUAUUAUCGGUUGCCAGCAUUCAGUUGGGCACUCUGGUGAGACUGCCGGUGACAAACCGGAGGAAGGUGGGGACGACGUCAAAUCAUCAUGCCCCUUAUGACCUGGGCUACACACGUGCUACAAUGGUCGGUACAACG